UGACGAGCGGCGGACGGGUGAGUAAUGCAUAGGAAUCUGCCCGAUAGUGGGGGAUAACCUGGGGAAACCCAGGCUAAUACCGCAUACGUCCUACGGGAGAAAGGGGGCUCCGGCUCCCGCUAUUGGAUGAGCCUAUGUCGGAUUAGCUAGUUGGUGAGGUAAUGGCUCACCAAGGCAACGAUCCGUAGCUGGUCUGAGAGGAUGAUCAGCCACAUCGGGACUGAGACACGGCCCGAACUCCUACGGGAGGCAGCAGUGGGGAAUAUUGGACAAUGGGGGCAACCCUGAUCCAGCCAUGCCGCGUGUGUGAAGAAGGCCCUCGGGUUGUAAAGCACUUUCAGCGAGGAAGAACGCCUAUCGGUUAAUAC
rnacentral:rRNA from 1 species